CCUACGGGAGGCAGCAGUAGGGAAUCUUCGGCAAUGGGGGCAACCCUGACCGAGCAACGCCGCGUGAGUGAAGAAGGUUUUCGGAUCGUAAAGCUCUGUUGUAAGUCAAGAACGAGUGUGAGAGUGGAAAGUUCACACUGUGACGGUAGCUUACCAGAAAGGGACGGCUAACUACGUGCCAGCAGCCGCGGUAAUACGUAGGUCCCGAGCGUUGUCCGGAUUUAUUGGGCGUAAAGCGAGCGCAGGCGGUUUGAUAAGUCUGAAGUUAAAGGCUGUGGCUCAACCAUAGUUCGCUUUGGAAACUGUCAAACUUGAGUGCAGAAGGGGAGAGUGGAAUUCCAUGUGUAGCGGUGAAAUGCGUAGAUAUAUGGAGGAACACCGGUGGCGAAAGCGGCUCUCUGGUCUGUAACUGACGCUGAGGCUCGAAAGCGUGGGGAGCGAACAGGAUUAGAUACCCCAGUAGUC
rnacentral:rRNA from 1 species